rnacentral:rRNA from 1 species
GACGAACGCUGGCGGCGUGCCUAAUACAUGCAAGUUGAGCGAUGAAGAUUGGUGCUUGCACCAAUUUGAAGAGCAGCGAACGGGUGAGUAACGCGUGGGGAAUCUGCCUUUGAGCGGGGGACAACAUUUGGAAACGAAUGCUAAUACCGCAUAACAACUUUAAACAUAAGUUUUAAGUUUGAAAGAUGCAAUUGCAUCACUCAAAGAUGAUCCCGCGUUGUAUUAGCUAGUUGGUGAGGUAAAGGCUCACCAAGGCGAUGAUACAUAGCCGACCUGAGAGGGUGAUCGGCCACAUUGGGACUGAGACACGACCCAAACUCCUACGGGAGGCAGCAGUAGGGAAUCUUCGGCAAUGGACGAAAGUCUGACCGAGCAACGCCGCGUGAGUGAAGAAGGUUUUCGGAUCGUAAAACUCUGUUGGUAGAGAAGAACGUUGGUGAGAGUGGAAAGCUCAUCAAGUGACGGUAACUACCCAGAAAGGGACGGCUAACUACGUG